UCCCUGGAGGGCUAGUGGUUAGGCCUCGGUGCUCUCACUGCUAUGGACUGGGUUCGAUUCCCGGCCUGGGGU